UGGGGAAUCUUGCGCAAUGGGCGAAAGCCUGACGCAGCCAUGCCGCGUGAGUGAUGAAGGCCUUAGGGUUGUAAAACUCUUUCACCGGGGACGAUAAUGACGGUACCCGGAGAAGAAGCCCCGGCUAACUUCGUGCCAGCAGCCGCGGUAAUACGAAGGGGGCUAGCGUUGCUCGGAAUUACUGGGCGUAAAGGGCGCGUAGGCGGAUCAGCAAGUUGGGGGUGAAAGCCCGGGGCUCAACCUCGGAAUUGCCUUCAAAACUGCUGAUCUAGAGUACGGGAGAGGUGUGUAGAACUCCGAGUGUAGAGGUGAAAUUCGUAGAUAUUCGGGAAGAACACCAGUGGCGAAGGCGACACACUGGCCCGUUACUGACGCUGAGGCGCGAAAGCGUGGGG
rnacentral:rRNA from 1 species